UACCGUGUGUGGUCAGCUGGAGAGGGCAGUGCCCAGGGAGCUCAGAGCUGCAUGCACAGUGCCCCGAGUGCCAAAUCAGAAGGGUGAGGAGACAUGGAUCAGGCUUCCCUGGCCGUCAGACUCUGGGAGUGUUGGGGGUCCCAGGAGCACCCCAUACCCCGGGAAGUGCUACUUUCUGAGGGAAAGAGCCUUUGCUGAGGAGUCCAGUGGUAUGGGCUCCGGUCCAACUCAGCAGCCUGGGACCCUGGGGCCCCAGGUGUCUCUGCCGCUACCAGAUACCUCCUGCUUGGAGUCAACAAGAACCAGCAUAGAGCCAGCUCUGGGCUUCCCGGGUGGUUCAGUGGUAAAGAAGCUGCCUGCAAUGCAGGAGACGUGGGUUUGAUCCCUGGGUUGGGAAGAUUCCCUGGAGAAGGAAAGGGCAACACGCUGCAGUAUUCUUGCCUGGAUAAUCCCAUGGACAGAGGAGCCCAGUGGGCUAUAGUCCAUGCGGUUGCAAAAGAGUUGAAUGUGACUUAGCAACUAAGCAACAACAACAGAGCCAGUUCUGCACAGACUGUAUGACCUCGGGGAAGAUGCUGGGCUGUUCCCCACUGGCUCUUCCAGCUCUGUGCCCCGGAAGCUGGCCUAAAGCUGCACUGGUGGGCUCUCUCACCCUCUGGCUUCAGCUGGACGAGAGGAGAAUGUGGCCUGGAUGCCCUCCCUGCUGGACUGGGGCUUGGCAGUGGCAGAUGUCUCUCCCAGAGGCUCCUCGUGGGCAGCCGUCUCCUCCGGUUACAGCACACACCAGAUCCCAGACACCUAGAGCAGCAACAGCCCCCUGCUUUGCAGGCUCUGGGUGCCCAUCGGCCCUUGUGGGUCCCCCAACUCUGCUCAUACUUUUGUACAUUGUCUUUUCAUCAAGCCCUUCAGCCCCUGUUCUACAUGUGUCUUCUGCCUCUGAGCUGCCUGCAAUAUCACUGAACCCUCUGAGCUUGUUUCCCCAUCCUUAUGUUGGGGACCAUGAUGACAUCUGCCUCCAGAAUCUGGAAGAGACAAGGAAAUGGAUUCUCUCCUAGAGCAACGCAAAGGAACACUGCUUUGUAGACACCUUGAUUUAGCCCAGACACUGAUUUUGGAGAUCUGACCUCCGGGCUGUAAGAUGAUAAACUUAUGUUGUUUUAACCCACUA